CAAGAUGAGUACUCUCAUGGAUUAAUCCAGUAAGGUCACAGGUAGAUUACCUGUUUAUAGGCAGUAGGUGGAAGUGCAGUGAUGUCCGCAGCCGAGCUGUCCUAAUAGACCGAGGGCUUGACCUC
rnacentral:rRNA from 1 species